rnacentral:lncRNA from 1 species
CGCCAGUGAUGAUUUCUCCUAAAUUUGGGUCCUAGUCCAUAAUGGAUUUCACCCUGCAGGGAACCCUUAUUCUUUUUCUGGGCUUGUCUGAGGUCAGGCUUGUCUGAGAGUGUGGGUAUUCCUGGCCUGAGAAUCUCAAGAAAUCAGCUCCUUCUGGCUUCCUGGUGGGUGCACCCAAGGGUCCAUAAACCUCUGCUCUAAAUCACUGUGUUCAUGGUUAUCCUGAUGUAAUUAAUGUGAAAUUCAGCUCCAGAUAUCCCAAAUCUCUAUGUGACAUAAAUAAUAAUAAUAAUAAUAAUCACUGCUUAGAAUCA